UACUUGGGGAUCUGCCUGAUGGCGGGGGACAACCACUGGAAACGGUGGCUAAUACCGCAUAAUACCUACGGGUCAAAGUGUGGGACCUUCGGGCCACACGCCAUCAGAUGAACCCAAGCGAGAUUAGCUAGUUGGUGGGGUAAAGGCUCACCAAGGCGACGAUCUCUAGCUGUUCUGAGAGGAUGAUCAGCCACACUGGGACUGAGACACGGCCCAGACUCCUACGGGAGGCAGCAGUGGGGAAUAUUGGACAAUGGGCGCAAGCCUGAUCCAGCCAUGCCGCGUGUGUGAAGAAGGCCUUCGGGUUGUAAAGCACUUUCAGUGGUGAGGAAGGGGUGCUAGUUAACAGCUAGCAUCAUUGACGUUAGCCACAGAAGAAGCACCGGCUAACUCCGUGCCAGCAGCCGCGGUAAUACGGAGGGUGCGAGCGUUAAUCGGAAUUACUGGGCGUAAAGCGCACGUAGGCGGUUUGUUAAGCAAGAUGUGAAAGCCCAGGGCUCAACCUUGGAAUUGCAUUUUGAACUGGCAAGCUAGAGUUUUGAAGAGGGUGGUAGAAUUUCCAGUGUAGCGGUGAAAUGCGUAGAUAUUGGAAGGAAUACCAGUGGCGAAGGCGGCCACCUGGUCAAAAACUGACGCUGAGG
rnacentral:rRNA from 1 species